GGUAGGCCUGCUUGUCGACCUCAGCAGCCUCCAGGCUGAGCCCAGGGCUGAACCGUCUCAUCCUUGUGGCCUCCAUGGUCAACCAAAAUGCCAACUCAGGGCUUGGCCUGUAGGCCGCCAAGGUCAACCAGCAGUCUGACACCAGGCUCAGUCUGGAGGCUGCUGAGGUCGACCAGCCACUGACCCCAGUCUCAACAAAGAUGCUGUUGAGCUCUACGAGCAUGCUAGGUCUGGCCUCAGUAUGGAGGCUGUCAAGGUCCUCCAGCACCUGCUCAGACCUGUGGUUAAAACUGCUGAGGUUGACCAGUAGGCUGGCCCUGGAUUCAGCCUGGAGACUGCUGAGGUUGACCAGCAGGCUGUUGCUGGGCUUACCCUGGAAGCCUCUGAGGUCCACUAGCAGGCUGACCCUGUCUCAGCCUGGAGCUUGCCGAAGUUGACCAGCAUGCCGACCCCUUCUAGGCCUGGUGGCUGCCUAGGUACACCAGCAGGCUGACCAGGUUCAGCCAGGAGGCUGCCAAGGUUAAUCAGCACGCCAACCCUGGGCUCAUCCUGGAUUCUGCUGAGUUCAUCUAGAUACCAGCCUAGGGUUUAACCAGGAGGCUACUGAGGUUGACCAGCAGGCCAACCCUGUCUCAACCUGGAGCUUGCUGAUAUCAUCUAGGAGCCCCACCCAGGUUUCAGCCAACAGACUAGUGAGGUUGACCAGCAUGCUGACCCCGUCUAAGCCUGGAGGCUGCCGAGGUUGACCAGCAGGCCAGCCCUGGGCUCAGUCUGGAAGCUGCCAAGCUUGCCCAGGAGCCCUACCCAGCAUUCAGCUAGGAGACUACUGAGGUGGACCAGCAGCCUGACCCGGGCUCAGCCUGUAGGCUGCUGAUGUGGACCAGCAGGCUGACCCCAUCUCAGCCUGGAGGCUGCCGAGAUUGACCUGCUGGCUGACUGCAGCUCUGCCUGGAGGUUCCUGUUGUUGACUAUCUCCCGGUCUCGGGCACAGCUUGGAGACUGCCUACCCGAACCCAGAUCUAACCUUGAGGCUCCUGAGUCAAACAGCCGAUCAGACCUGAUCUCAGGCUCCACGUGGGAGGGGUCGAAAUCCCCACCUGACUCUCACCUGGAAAUUGAUUUGGACGAGGACUCAGUCUAGAGGACUCCAGUGUUUGACUGCCAGAUGGACCUAGACCCUAACUCAGCUGGAACCUCCUAUGUGAAACAGCAGGAUCAACAUGGUAGACAUCAGGAAAGAGAGAAAUCCACACCAUCGCAGCGCGUGGCUCUUGAGUCUGCAUUCCCCGAGCAGAGCACAGCAUGCAGCUGCCUCCAAGGGGGGCCUCCAAGGGGCAGGGAAGAGCUGCUUCCCUCCGAGGAGGAGCUGGAUUGUUUGGGGGUUCUGAGAAAAGGAUCCUCUUCUUGGGUUGCCAACACCCAGCUCCCUCCCUCUCGGCAGUCAGGGAGGCUCGACAGCCAGGCCACACCUAACCGCUCAGGGAGAGGCCUUGAGCUGGACACCAGGUACUCUAGCAGGAGAUGGUGAGGCGGAGGGAGGCGUUGCUUAGCAACCGCAUCAGCAACAACAUCUGCGGCGAGCAGGAGGGGUUCAGCGGAUGAUACAAUGGACUGAAACUAAAAUGAUGUAAAAGACAUGUCAUGCGAGCAGCAACCACAGGACAGCCGAGUGGGCACCUGGCCAGACACCUUGGUCUCAGAACAGAAAAAGUUUUACUGAUAACAUAAGUGAUGACUUCCAUAUACCGAGAAAUGGUUACGAGUCAGCCGUCACCCGCAUCCAUCAGCUGACACAGGUGGGCAGACCCAGUGGACAUUGUUAACAGCACCAUGCCGAGUAGACAAAUGAUCUGGAGAGAGCAUUGUCUGCUACAGCUGCGUAACAAACAGCCCCAGCCCCCGGGGUGAACAACAGCAAACUACGCCAACCUAGUUCACCUCAGGACGUCUUCCCGCUUUUAAAAACAACUAAGGACCCCAAAGAGCUUUUAUUAAUUAUGUUCUUUUUAUUGACACUGUAUUAAAGAUUUUAA